UGAGACAGGUGCUGCAUGGCUGUCGUCAGCUCGUGUUGUGAAAUGUUGGGUUAAGUCCCGCAACGAGCGCAACCCUUAUCCUUGUUUGCCAGCGAGUAAUGUCGGGAACUCCAGGGAGACUGCCGGUGAUAAACCGGAGGAAGGUGGGGACGACGUCAAGUCAUCAUGGCCCUUACGAGUAGGGCUACACACGUGCUACAAUGGCAUAUACAGAGGGCAGCGAGACAGCGAUGUGAAGCGAAUCCCAGAAAGUAUGUCGUAGUCCGGAUUGGAGUCUGCAACUCGACUCCAUGAAGUCGGAAUCGCUAGUAAUCGUGGAUCAGAAUGCCACGGUGAAUACGUUCCCGGGCCUUGUACACACCGCCCGUCACACCAUGGGAGUGGGCUGCACCAGAAGUAGAUAGCUUAACUUCGGGAGGGCGUU
rnacentral:rRNA from 1 species